AUGCCGGGUCACCGGAUCCGGGAUUGCCACAAGAGGAAAGCCGACGAGGCAGCCGCGGCAACGGCAAACCUCGUCCAGGCUGACGUGGACGGCGGGCCGGCAAUGAUGCUGGCAAGAGUCGAACCCGUGCAGGAGAGCUUGGCGUCUCUCACGACCACGGCCCCGACCACCACCCAUUCCCUGCAGGAGGCACGGAGCCCGUCCAUGGGAACCAUCACUCCAGUGAUAGGCCACACCUCGACAACAACGUUCUCGGGGCCUAUCGACUGGGAGGCGAUGAAGGCCCGGGUGUGGGGGAGCCACACCCCGGCGACGGCGUCCCCGACAACCUCGGGACCCGACAAGGUCGCGCAAGUUGGCGCGGCAAUGAUGCAUAUGGCGGUCCAUGCUCCGACCAUGAUGCUGGCGACCAUCGACUCCGUGCAGGAGCGCACGGAGACUCAGGUCAUCCACAACCCAACGCCGAAGUGUUCGAGGUCCACCGUGAUGAUGGGAGAUGGCUCCCCGACAACAGUGUGUGCGUGCAGCUACGUCUUCCUCAACGAGGAGAGAGACGUGACCACACCCAUGCUUGCAGGCGGCAAGCAAAGUGAGGGUUGGUUCCUCGACACUGGCACCACGAACCACAUGACUGGUUCGGUCGACGCGUUCGCGGAGCUGGACCGCUCAAUUACCGGGAAGGUGCGGUUCACGGACGGAUCCAUGGUGGAGAUCCACGGGCGCGGGACCGUCGUCUUCGCCGACAAAGGGGGUGACCGCGAACGUCUACUUCAUCCUGGCGCUCACGAGCAGCGUCGUGAGUGCCGGACAGUUCGACGAGGGGUGGUUCGACAUCGGCAUCCAGCGCGGUGUUCUCACCGUGCACGACUAGCAGAAGAGGCUGCUCAUCGAGGUAACCCGCCGCCGAACCGCCUCUACAAAUUCUUCUUUCAACCCGUACAUCCUGUGUGCCUUGCCGUGGGCCAUGUCACCGACGCGUGGCGUUGGCAUGCCCGGCUAGGACACCAGCACUUCGACGGGUUGUGA
rnacentral:rRNA from 1 species